rnacentral:siRNA from 1 species
ACAUACUUUUCUAAAAGUGCCA